rnacentral:rRNA from 1 species
UACGGAAGGCAGCAGUGGGGAAUAUUGCACAAUGGGCGCAAGCCUGAUGCAGCCAUGCCGCGUGUAUGAAGAAGGCCUUCGGGUUGUAAAGUACUUUCAGUCGUGAGGAAGGUGUUAAGGUUAAUAACCUUAGCAAUUGACGUUAGCGACAGAAGAAGCACCGGCUAACUCCGUGCCAGCAGCCGCGGUAAUACGGAGGGUGCGAGCGUUAAUCGGAAUUACUGGGCGUAAAGGGCACGCAGGCGGUUAAUUAAGUUGGAUGUGAAAUCCCCGGGCUUAACCUGGGAAUGGCAUUCAAGACUGGUUAGCUAGAGUCUUGUAGAGGGGGUAGAAUUCCGAUGUGUAGCGGUGAAAUGCGUAGAGAUGUGGAGGAAUACCGGUGGCGAAGGCGGCCCCUGGGACAAAGGCUGACGCUCAUGUGCGAAAGCGUGGGGAGCGAAAC